GGGUGACUAGUCUAGUGGUCAGGACGGUUCGUUGUGGCUUAAACCCCUCAAUCCGAACAAACCCCGGUUCGAUUCCGGGGUCGCCCA